CAGGGAUUGCCUUAGUAACGGCGAGUGAAGCGGCAACAGCUCAAAUUUGAAAUCUGGCCCUUGGGUCCGAAUUGUAAUUUGUAGAGGAUGAUUUUGGUGCGGUAUCUUCCGAGUUCCUUGGAACAGGACGCCUUAGAGGGUGAGAGCCCCGUACGGUUGAAUGCCUAGCCUCUGUAAAUCUCCUUCGACGAGUCGAGUAGUUUGGGAAUGCUGCUCUAAAUGGGAGGUAAAUUUCUUCUAAAGCUAAAUAUUGGCCAGAGACCGAUAGCGCACAAGUAGAGUGAUCGAAAGAUGAAAAGCACUUUGAAAAGAGGGUUAAAUAGCACGUGAAAUUGUUGAAAGGGAAGGAUUUGUGACCAGACUUUUUCUGGGCGGAUCAUCCGGGGUUCUCUCCGGUGCACUUUGCCCAGUAAAGGCCAGCAUCGGUUUUCGGCGGGGGAUAAAAGCAGUAGGAAUGUGGCUCUCUACGGGGAGUGUUAUAGCCUAUUGUAUAAUACCCUGCUGGGGACCGAGGUACGCGCUUCUGCAAGGAUGCUGGCGUAAUGGUUAUCAAUCACCCGUCUUGAAACACGGACCAAGGAGUCGAACAUUUGUGCGAGUGUUUGGGUGUUAAACCCUCACGCGUAAUGAAAGUGAACGGAGGUGAGAGCCCUUACGGGUGCAUCAUCGACCGAUCCUGAAGUUUUCGGAUGGAUUUGAGUAAGAGCAUAACUGUUCGGACCCGAAAGAUGGUGAACUAUGCGUGGAUAGGGUGAAGCCAGAGGAAACUCUGGUGGAGGCUCGCAGCGGUUCUGACGUGCAAAUCGAUCGUCAAAUCUGCGCAUGGGGGCGAAAGACUAAUCGAACCAUCUAGUAGCUGGU
rnacentral:rRNA from 1 species